rnacentral:rRNA from 1 species
GGAGGGCAAGUCUGGUGCCAGCAGCCGCGGUAAUUCCAGCUCCAAUAGCGUAUAUUAAAGUUGUUGUGGUUAAAAAGCUCGUAGUUGAACCUUGGGCCUGGCUGGCCGGUCCGCCUCACCGCGUGUACUGGUCCGGCCGGGCCUUUCCCUCUGUGGAACCCCAUGCCCUUCACUGGGUGUGGCGGGGAAACAGGACUUUUACUGUGAAAAAAUUAGAGUGCUCCAGGCAGGCCUAUGCUCGAAUACAUUAGCAUGGAAUAAUAGAAUAGGACGUGUGGUUCUAUUUUGUUGGUUUCUAGGACCGCCGUAAUGAUUAAUAGGGACAGUCGGGGGCAUCAGUAUUCAAUUGUCAGAGGUGAAAUUCUUGGAUUUAUUGAAGACUAACUACCGCGAAAGCAUUUGCCAAGGAUGUAUUCAUUAAUCAGGAACGAAAGUUAGGGGAUCGAAGACGAUCAGAUACCGUCGUAGUCUUAACCAUAAACUAUGCCGACUAGGGAUCGGACGGUGUUAUUUUUUGACCCGUUCGGCGCCUUACGGGAAAC